rnacentral:sRNA from 1 species
GUCAUCUUCCUGAUGGGAAGGAUGAGAAGGUUUGAGCCGAACGCAGUGAGACCAUGCCACCUGUGGCGUCCGUAGGGCAAGGAGCGCAGCGACGCAGUUAUCCCUUCCCCCACAACCA